UCGCGCUAGACGGGGAGUUAGCGGUGUCCUGUAACUCGCAAUCCGCUUUAGCGAGGUUGAAGUCCCACUCGAGGGCAUCGUGCCUUUUAGUCAGGUUCGGGGUACGUGGCAUUGAGGGCUGGGUCCUACUCAACGGGGUGCUGGUGAACCCGGUCAGGUCCGAAAGGAAGCAGCCGCAGCUGGUUAAUCUCGUGUGCUGUAGGAUCGCCUGGCCUGAGCCGGCGGCCUCCGAGGCCGUUCUGGGCAUAUGUUCGAAGGUGGGUGCGCGG
rnacentral:SRP_RNA from 1 species